rnacentral:rRNA from 1 species
UUGAACGCUGGCGGCAGGCCUAACACAUGCAAGUCGCACGGUAACAGGAAGAAGCUUGCUUCUUUGCUGACGAGUGGCGGACGGGUGAGUAAUGUCUGGGAAACUGCCUGAUGGAGGGGGAUAACUACUGGAAACGGUAGCUAAUACCGCAUAACGUCGCAAGACCAAAGAGGGGGACCUUCGGGCCUUUUGCCAUCGGAUGUGCCCAGAUGGGAUUAGCUAGUAGGUGGGGUAACGGCUCACCUAGGCGACGAUCCCUAGCUGGUCUGAGAGGAUGACCAGCCACACUGGAACUGAGACACGGUCCAGACUCCUACGGGAGGCAGCAGUGGGGAAUAUUGCACAAUGGGCGCAAGCCUGAUGCAGCCAUGCCGCGUGUAUGAAGAAGGCCUUCGGGUUGUAAAGUACUUUCAGCGGGGAGGAAGGGAGUAAAGUUAAUACCUUUGCUCAUUGACGUUACCCGCAGAAGAAGCACCGGCUAACUCCGUG